CCAGCUUCAGGGCUGUGUGUCUCCAGGAGAGGUUUUCUCCUCCCAGACGGACCUGCCGUGACCCAUUGUGGUUCUUGCUUCCGCUGGGCGAUCCCCGGGCUCAGGUCGGAGGAUGCAGUAAACCUCCUGGCUCCUUCCCGAAGAACGCUGGGACUUAACUGCGCUGCGCCCCAGCCGAACAACCGCAUAAAGCGGAAAAUUUUUUCAUCACUUACAGAAACUAUUUCCACCCGUUUGAAACAGCAUCUGCAGCUCCUCGGAGCAAGCUCGUCUUAGCACCGCCGAGCGAGGGAACACGGGUGCAGUCGGGGCGCUUCCUGGAGGCCGCGCCCCCCCCUUCCCGUCGGGCGGUCAUUGUUCCCGCGCCGCUGGGGCCGGCGGACCCCGCAGCCCCCGCCCUCCGGACCAGCCGCAGGCGCGGCGGCGCGGGGCGUCCCUGGGCGAGGCGGGCCCGGGAGCUCGGCGGGCGCGCGGGGGCGCGGGCGGGGCCGGCGCUGCCAAUCCCCGCGCGGCGCACGUGCGGCACGUCCCCGCAUCCGGGCCCCCGCCCCGAGCCGGCUCGGCUGGGGGGGGUGGGGGGGGUCCGGAGCGAACCGGGGGUGCGCCCGCCGAGGGGGAGCCAUGCCAUGCGUCAGGCACCCGGUGGAAGCACAGGCAUCAGAGCUGUCCGAGUGGACUUGACGGUGCGCAGAAGGCAAGAGAGGGGCCACCGCCCGCAGGGGCCGAGACUUCGCGGACGGUCCACUCUGAGUCGGAGCCUGCUGGCCGCGCGUUAAUGUCCUGCUGCGGGAGGAAGGCAUCGGGCCAACAUUCUCUAUACAGGGCGGCCCCUUGGUUCCCCGCCGUGCUGUUUGGACCCCGGGCGGGAAGUGCCAAGUCCCAGCGUGGAAGCCGGGGGGAUGUCUUGGAGGUCGCUGUACCUCGCGGGGAGUCCCCGGAGCGGAGCUCUUGUUUACCCUGCCUGGGAGGCCCUCGCAACUUCCGGAAGAGGACUGCCUUUGAAGUGUGGGCAGCACUUCGGUUUCUCCCACUACUCCUUGUCUCCUUUGAUGUGGAAUGACGCUAGCAGAGACUGGCUCCCGGGACCAAGAGAUCAAACACCACUCCCAAGUUCACCUCCAGCAGGACGGACAUCUUGAAGGGCAGACUGAAAUACUCUAGAAUCUUAAAUUUUCCCAUUUCCUGCUGUGUUUUAAAAAAUUAAUAUAGUGCCUAUUUUUCAAAUAUGUCAUUCAAAUCUCAAUGCCUCUGAAAUGACAGUGGAAAACCUUGGGCUCACCUGCUCUAUCUACAUGAUUUCAUCUAAUCCUCACAACCACUGUCCCUGGCUGGUAUUAUCCCCCACUUUAUAGAUGGGGAAUUGAAGGCCUGGGGUCAUUACAGCUGUCCCACUGAGAGCCUUCCUUCCUUCCUUUUUUUUUAAAAGAUUUUAUUUAUUUGAGAGAGCGCGAGAGAGUGAGCAGGGAAAAGAGCAGAGGGAGAGGGACAAGCAGACUGCACUGAGCAUGGAGCCCGACAUGGGGCUCGAUCCCCUGACCCAUGAGUUCACGACCUGAGCCAAAACCAAGAGUCAGUCGCUCAACCAACUGAGCCACCCAGGUGACCCGAGAGCCCUUCUUCUUGAGCACCUCCUCCGCUAAAAGUUAAUUGCGUGAGUAAAAUGAAUCAAAUCCCACGAAGCACAACAGUGCGGGGCACCCAGUAACCGCACAGUGAAAAGUUACUGAUUUUUUUGGAUCGCUGUUAUCAUUACAAAUAAUAAGCAUAAAAGUUCUGUCUAUCAUGAUAGCAAGUUCGGCAGUGAUUGUAGGCAGUAGACCUUGAUGCAUUCUUUCAGAAAUGUUCAGGUUUUGUUUUUCCUUGGUUAGAGCUAUCUCUAAAUGGUACUGGGAUUUCGACUCUGGAGCAAGUUGCUCCAAGACAAACUGUACUGUGGUUUUCCCACAGAGAUUUGCUCCCAGACCUGAUCUGUCCUUCCUUCCCAACUGGAGACCGUUAGCAAAAACAUGCUGUUCAGACCUCAGCUGGGUGCUUUGAUGCCUAUGAGUUUAGAAUGGAAUGGAAUGUGUGUGUUUGUGUGUAUUUUAAUGACAUGGAUAAGGUAACUUGGCUUUGUCCUAAAAUUUCACAAAGCAAAUCAACAUUAUUCACCAAAUUGUUUACUUUUUUAAAGUGUUUGUUUUUUGUUUUUUGUUUUUUUUUUUUUUACAAAAAAGUAUUUUAAAAAUGCUUUGGAAGUGGAGAGAUCCUCCUGAAGGCCCCUCUAAGUUGAGAGAAUGGCUAGGAAUCAUCUGAGUGAGGCGGUGCGAUGGAUGCUGACCUGGGGACGGAUGUGCCCUGGGAGACCUGGGAGGACAGGCGAGCUGCCCUGUUGCUUGGCUUUUUGAAGGACAGGACGGGGAGGAGGCAGGAGCCACAGAAACACUGAUAACCGAGGCACCGGGAAGCCCCGAUGAGGCCUCUCCUUAAUCAGAGGCUGGUGGGAGGCGGAGCCUAGCCAGGCUUUUGCUUUUAACACGAAAAGAUGGAGGAAGGUAUAAAAGAGUAACACAUGGUUAAAUAAUAACAAAUGGUAUUUCUUGAAUACCUAUCAUGCUGCAGGCACUGUUCUGGGGGCUUCACCUGCUUCUCAUCAUUUCGCCCUACGAGGUAGGUUACAUGCUGUUAUUCCCAGUUUCCAGCCAAGGAAGCAGCCAAAGGAAGGUUAAGUGGCCCAGCGUCACCCAGUUGCUAAGUGGCCCAGCCAGGGCUCGUGCUCAUGGCCGUGUCACUCAGACACGUGGGGAUGGAAGUGUUUUGCUCUUUUUUGCUGAGAUUCAGUUUACAAGUUCUUAUCCUGGGGGAUGUUCGGGACUUCCCGGUCUGAAUCCAUCUGAGGAGAAACCUUUGAAAAGUAGUUGGCUGAAUCAAAGGGAAGGGGCAAUGGCUCAGGGUCGACUGGGCAAGCAGGGAUCGGUGAGAGGAAUCAGGACAGAUGACACGGUGGGACAAUGCCGUGACUGGAUCGCUGUUGGGGGAACAAGAGUGCCGUUUCGUGGUGUGUGUUCGGAGAAGGACAAAGAGAGAUGGGCCCUUGCUGAGUCGGAUGGGAACAGAGGAAGGCAAGCAUGGGAAUCGAGGUAUCAUAGGAAGGUGCCCAUGGUAAGAGGUGGGACCUGCAGGGUGGCCACUUUGUUUCAACAUAUCACAGUAACACGUCACAACUGACUUCCAAGCAGCAGGAGAGAGGAAAGAGAGAAGGGCCUAUACCUUCUUUUAAAGAGACUUUCCUGGAAGAACCAUACUAUACUUUUUGCUUGCAAUUCACUGGCUAGAACUUAAUGGCUGGAUCCAGCUGAAGGGAGGUGGGAAAAUUAGUCCAUCAACAGGGUGUAAUGCUACUCUGAAUAAACUUGGGGUUCU